rnacentral:misc_RNA from 1 species
CGCACAUUGCGCCCCUUGGUAUUCCGAGGGGCAUGCCUGUUCGAGCGUCAUUACACCACUCAAGCACUGCUUGGUAUUGGGCACCGUCCCCCUCCUCUGGGGGGCGAGCCUCAAAGACCUCGGCGAGGCCUCACCGGCUUUAGGCGUAGUAGAAUUCUUUCGAACGUCUUUAAAAGGGGAGGACUUCUGCCGACAGAAGCCUUUAAUUUUUCUAAGGUUGACCUCGGAUCAGGUAGGGAUACCCGCUGAACUUAA